rnacentral:rRNA from 1 species
CCUACGGGUGGCAGCAGUGGGGAAUAUUGGACAAUGGGGGGAACCCUGAUCCAGCGACGCCGCGUGAGUGAAGAAGGAUUUCGGUAUGUAAAGCUCUAUCAGCAGGGAAGAAAGAAAUGACGGUACCUGACUAAGAAGCCACGGCUAACUACGGGCCAGCAGCCGCGGUAAUACGUAGGGGGCAAGCGUUAUCCGGAUUUACUGGGGGUAAAGGGAGCGGAGCCGGCGCUGCAAGUCUGAAGUGAAAGGCGGGGGCCCAACCCCUGGACUGCUUUGGAAACUGUAUGGCUGGAGUGCAGGGGAGGUAAGUGGCCUUCCUAGUGUAGCGGUGCACUGCGUAGAUAUUCGGAGGCACCCCAGUGGCGACGGCGGCUUACUGGACUGUACCUGACGUUGCGGCUCGAACGCGUGGGGAGCAAACCGGAUUAGAUACCCGAGUAGUC